rnacentral:lncRNA from 1 species
AAACUUCCUUCAUGAAAGUUGUAGAGUUUGUCAAUACGAGUUCGUAGACAUGCGGCACGCCUGAAACGGACGUCGUAUGAAGAAGUUAUGUUCAGAGGAAGUUUGUUUCUGGGUUUGAAAAGAGUAUAAGUAGAAAAAUGUGUGUGGGAUGUUUUGGGAACCCUAAAAAACAAAGUCAGUCUCUGUUUUCUCUCUUCCCUUUCUUUUCUUUCUUUUCUCUCUUCUCUCUCUUCUCUCUCUUCCUCUCCCGAGCUUCCCCCGAACUCUCACUUUCUCCGGCCGAGUUCUCCCUCAUCCGGCCACCAAACCAGACGCCACCGGUCCCAUUCGACUCCCACAGCAGCCCUCUCCAUUUCUGGAGCAGUUCCGCCGGCUGUCCCGCCGCCUGGAAGCCGCCACGAAGCGGUGGAGCUACCGCUGUCCUGCCGGAAAACCGACGAUUUCGACGCCGUUUUCGGCCAAGUUUAGGUAAGUCUUGAUCCCCUCUUCCUCCUGGUAGUGUUUAGGCAUGGAUUGAAGCAAGUUUUUAAGGUUUUGAGGCCGGUUUUGCAGAUUUUGCCUUUGAUUUUCUGGUCACUGUUCGGGGCGGUUUCCGGCCGGUUCCGUCCAUUUUUGGUCGAAGUCUCAGGUAUGAAAGUUGUUCCCCUUGCUUCAAGCUUCAACUUUGCUGUUGGGAGUUUUCUCAAAUUCGGAAGUUUGGGGUGGCGCGUGAGGCCCACUCGCCGCCGCCUGUGGCGGCGCGUGGCGGCGCGUCCGGUUGAGUUGCAGGCCAAGUUUCCUAUGGUUAGGUAGUCCUUACUGCUGUGAGCUUGUUGAGUGGUAGUGUGGCUAGUUUUUAAGAAAUGUUGGCAUGCUAGAACGUUAAGUCUGAUUUUAGGUUUGUUGGAGGUUUGAGUUAGGAAUGGAGGAUUAGAGGCAGCCUUUGUGGGUCUCUAAGUUCGACGACUUUGGAAAGUUGUCAUCUCUUGAAUUAAGGGUUAGUUAAGGGUAUUGUGUUAACCUAUAGUAUUUUAGUUACUAAGGUUUUAAUUGUGCUAUUUUUAGGUGAUUUGUGAAGUUGAGUUGGUUUACCUUGGUCGGUUGUGGAAUUUGCAGCGGGAGAUUUAGGUGAGUAAACCUCACCAAGGUUCACUUUUGAACCUAAGGAUAUUAUGGUUAUAUAAUGAUAAUGAUGGUGAUGUUGGUUUUAAUAUCAUGCUUUUAAUUGUUUUUAAAAUUUCAUGAGCUUGAUCGCCAACGGCUCAUAGGUAAGAUAAAAACAAGUUUUCUUUAUAUUGUGAUGUUGAGAAUAAUGAUGUGAUUUAUAUAUUAUGUUGUUGAG